CAAUAAUCUGCUGAAAGCACGAAUUCUUCUAACCAGUCCCCUUCCUUAGCACGCCCCAGAUGCGAACAAUGAAGCCCAUGGAGAACAGCGUGGCAGUUUCUGCAUGGUGAAAAGCUGGCAACAUUUGCUUGAAAACAGGCUGGCAGCACUGUGGGAAGGCACUCAUCCAUUGCCCUGACCCAUCCCUGAGGAACCGAGUUCUGAUGGAUACCAUUACAGCAACACGUGCUCUGACACGACGGGACAUGUGGACACGUGCAGGGAGAUAACCCAGGGCUGGGUCGGGUGACUCUGCUGGGAUCACGGAGGUCCAUCAGUGCUCAGCAGCCCAAUGGGCUCUGCCUGCAUCCUAUGGCUGUGCCUCCUGCUGCUGGCCCUGCCCACUCCACAUGCAGGUAUUGCUGUGCCCAGAGCUAACCUUGCUGAGGGGGCAGAUGGCUCUUCCAUCAUCAAAACCAUUGUGACAGUCUACUACUGUAAAGACUGUGGGGAAGAAAAAUGCAAACUAUCCGAUUACGCAGACUUUGAAAUAAUCGUCAAAACAGAAAAUGAGAUGUUUUCAAAUGAAAGUAUUAACCUGAUGAUCAACGAAACGCACAUUACUAUGUGUUUUCUGCAAGAAAACGUGUAUCGUGAUGGAGCUUAUGCCAUCUUCUGGGAGAAGGAUGAGGGAUUAGGAGAACCGUGUGGCAUCCUGAAGUCUGGAGAUUCCCUUGAAGAUAGGAGACACAACAUGGCAGAGAAGGGAAGAGUCUGCUGUGAAACACAGACAGAUCAUACAAACCCUCACAAUAUCCUCAAGUGCUACAUUGGAGAGACAGGUAAUCAUCAAUAUUCAGUCGGUGAAAACAACCAAGCUGGUCUCACUGCCAUGUUCCUGAUUCUGGGGAUUUGUGCAGGAGGAGGACUACUGACCACAUAUUAUUGCAAGAGGCGGUUCCAGAGACGUCAAGGACAUAUCGUAGUGCUCCAGCAGACUUCUCCAGGUAAAGAAAAUGUAUCAACUGAAGGGCCAACAGACAUUAUCAGUGUUUGGGAAGGAGACUCCAUUACUAUAACUUGUUCAAAGAACAGUUCAGAAAAUGAAGUGGGGACAUAUUUGAGGACUAGCGAACCGCCAGAAAAUAUUGUAUACGUUUCCUCCAAGAAUACUUCACAUAUACAUCGGGAUUUUGUUAAUCGCACCACGUACUUAAAUGAAGAAACAAAUCUCACAAUCACUGUGCGCGACGUACGGAAAUCUGAUUCAAAUAUCUACCUAUGCGUCACCUAUAGUACAAAAAACAACCAUCACAUCAAGCGAGAUGGGAAGUCAGUCAUUUUGGUUGUGAAAGGUACUGUGGUUCCACUCUACGUAGUAUGAAUUAAUAAAUACAGGGAU
rnacentral:lncRNA from 1 species